rnacentral:lncRNA from 1 species
GAGCAAAGUACACUUCUGUCCUGUGCCAGUCGCUAGUCAGUGGCGUUGCCACAGCAGCCCAGUCAGACUGCGGGUGUCACCCUGGGGGAAAUACUCAGAGGGCGGGAGGUCCCUGAGGCAGCCAGGGAGAAGUGGGGCCAUAGCCAGUUUUCAAAGGAAGCCAGGAGACAGCUGAGUGACUUUGCUACCGCCACCUACACCAGAAGCCCCAGAAGGCACCUCAGAACGCGCUGGACGCGCCUGCCAGCUGGACUCCACCAGGGACAGUCCUGACCCCGGUGGAAGGAAAAGAUGCGAGAAGAAGAAAAAGCAAAGGAGUGGACCCCGCAAACGGGCCUAAAUGACGGUGUUCCCAGGAAGCGCAGCCGGAUCAGACUGCACCAGAGAGGGCCAGCAGGCGGACGUGACCCAGGCCCCAGCUGGUCUGGGAGGAGGGCUUCCAGGCGGCCUUUGCAUCACUGUGACCAAAACACCCGACCAGGAAAACUCAGAGGAGGGAAAGUUCAGGGGUGGCUCAGGGGCCUGGGUUCCAUCCCUGGCACCACAUAAAGAUAAAAACAAAAUACAGGUAUUGUGACCACCUACAACUAAAAAAUUACUUAAAAAAGCGUUGACUUGGGGCUCAUGGCCCCAGAGUCACCUCCACCGAGGGCCACUCCAUGCUCUGGGCCCAGGGGGAGGCAGACGUCAUGGCGGAAGGGACAGCGGAGGACAGCUGCCCCCUCGUGGCAGGGUCGGGAAGCA